CAGUAUUUAGGCCAGAGCAAACAAUCACCACCAGGUGGUGCCAAACCAAAGACAGUACCAGAAUGGACCUGCCCGGGCCUGCACCUUGUCAUACCCCGCACCUGCCCUGGAACUAGCUGUGCAGGCAUUUUAUCAUCUCACAUCAUCACAAGAAGGGUUCAAAAUUCACUGCUUUAUGGUUGACUAAUCUUCGACAAAGCAGGAAAGAAUAUCCAAUGGAAUACAGUCCCUUCAACAAACGGUGUUGGAAAAACUGAACAUCAACAUGCAGAAGAAUGAAAAUGGACCACUUCCUUAUACCAUAGAC